rnacentral:tRNA from 1 species
GAAUAUGAAGCGAUAAAUUGCAAUUAGUUUCGACCUAAUUUUAGAUGUCAAUCAUCCUUAUUCU